ACAUAAGGAGCCAAAUCUGAGCUGCAGCUGACAGCAGCCAGAAGUUGCCCGCUCUCCAUGCACUUCUUUCUGGAGCAGACAACCUGAAGAUGACUGCUUGGACUCCAGGAGACAAGUAGGUGAAACAGAAGGUAUAUGCCCUGAAGACAACUGAAGAAGAGGUGAUACUGAUAAAAUAGCAACAUCUGGAUCAGCUAUGGCCACAAAAGACCCCAAGGCAGAUGACUCUCUGCUCAAAGAAAAAAGGGGUCCAGACCUCCAAGAGAUGCUGACAAAAGAAGGAUUGUCUGUUGAAUACUGGUUGCCGAAGCUCCGGGAACACCUCGGUGUGACCCAUGCCCAGGCCUUACAACACAUAGACAGAAAGGAACUCCAGAAGCUGAAAUUGCAGGUGCAGCAUCCAUGGGAGAAAAGUGC